rnacentral:misc_RNA from 1 species
GAUGAAGAACGUGGCAAAAUGCGAUAAGUAAUGUGAAUUGCAGAAUUCAGUGAAUCAUCGAAUCUUUGAACGCACAUUGCGCCCGCCAGUAUUCUGGCGGGCAUGCCUGUUCGAGCGUCAUUUCAACCCUCAAGCCCUCGGGUUUGGUGUUGGGGAUCGGCGAGCCUUUCUGGCAAGCCGGCCCCGAAAUCUAGUGGCGGUCUCGCUGCAGCCUCCAUUGCGUAGUAGUAAAACCCUCGCAACUGGAACGCGGCGCGGCCAAGCCGUUAAACCCCCAACUUCUGAAUGUUGACCUCGGAUCAGGUAGGAAUACCCGCUGAACUUAAGCAUAUCAAUAAGCGGAGGA